rnacentral:pre_miRNA from 1 species
UUAACUCAAAUUUGUAUGAAGUUGGAAUGUUUUCCUACGUUUGCCGCUAAGGGCGCUGUUCCAACUCCAUACAAAUUUGAGUUA